rnacentral:rRNA from 1 species
CCUACGGGUGGCAGCAGUAGGGAAUCUUUCACAAUGGGCGAAAGCCUGAUGGAGCAACGCCGCGUGCAGGAUGAAGGCCCUCCGGUUGUAAAAUGCUUUUAUAAGCGAGAAAUAUGAUGGUAACUUAUGAAUAAGGAUCGGAUAACAACGUUCCAGCGGCCGCGGGCACACGUCGGAGCCGAGCAUUAUACGGAGUGACUGGGGGUAAAGAGUUGCGUAGGUGGCGUAAUAAGUCGCUAGUGGAAUCUGGACGCUCAAACAUUCAGACUAUUAUCGAAACUGUUAAUCUAGAGACCAUUAGAGGUAACUGGAAUUCCUAGUGUAGGGGUGAAAUCCUUAGAUAUCAGAAGGAAC